GACGAACGCUGGCGGCGUGCUUAACACAUGCAAGUCGAACGGAGUGGCGAACGGGUGAGUAACACGUGGGUGACCUGCCCUGCACUUCGGGAUAAGCCUGGGAAACUGGGUCUAAUACCGGAUAGUGUGGGAUGGGCCCGCGGCCUAUCAGCUUGUUGGGGGGGUAAUGGCCUACCAAGGCGGCGCCGGGUAGCCGGCCUGAGAGGGGGGACGGCCACAAUGGGCCUGAGGCACGGACCAGACUCCUACGGGGGGCAGCGGUGGGGAAUAUUGCCCAACGGGCGGAAGCCUGAUGCAGCGACGCCGCGUGGGGGAUGACGGCCUUCGGGUUGUAAACUCCUUUCACCAUCGACGCGGUAGAUGGAGAAGAAGCACCGGCUAACUACGUGCCAGCCGCCGCGGUAAUUC
rnacentral:rRNA from 1 species